rnacentral:rRNA from 1 species
CAGCAGCCACGGGAAAACGGAGGGUGCAAGCGUUAUCCGGAUUUAUUGGGUUUAAAGGGUCCGUAGGCGGAUCUGUAAGUCAGUGGUGAAAUCUCACAGCUUAACUGUGAAACUGCCAUUGAUACUGCAGGUCUUGAGUAAAUUUGAAGUGGCUGGAAUAAGUAGUGUAGCGGUGAAAUGCAUAGAUAUUACUUAGAACACCAAUUGCGAAGGCAGGUCACUAAGAUUUAACUGACGCUGAUGGACGAAAGCGUGGGGAGCGAACAGGAUUAGAUACCCCCGUAGUCCCUGUCUCUUAUAA